GUGCUCCCUUCAGCAGCAGCUAUACUGCAAUUGGAAAGAUACAGAGAUUAGCGUGGCCCCUGCGCGUGAGGAUGACGUGCACAUUCACGAAGCGUUCUGUAUUUUU
ensembl:snRNA U6 U6 spliceosomal RNA